GUGCCAGCCGCCGCGGUAAUACAGAGGUCCCAAGCGUUGUUCGGAUUCACUGGGCGUAAAGGGUGCGUAGGCGGUCGGGUAAGUCUGACGUGAAAUCCCGCAGCUCAACUGCGGAACUGCGUCGGAUACUAUUCGGCUUGAGGAAUGGAGGGGAGACUGGAAUUCUCGGUGUAGCAGUGAAAUGCGUAGAUAUCGAGAGGAACACCAGUGGCGAAGGCGAGUCUCUGGACAUUUCCUGACGCUGAGGCACGAAAGCCAGGGGAGCAAACGGGAUUAGAAACCCUGGUAGUCC
rnacentral:rRNA from 1 species